UAACAUGGCAGGUCUGACGGACUCCCAGU
rnacentral:piRNA from 1 species